AUUGAACGCUGGCGGCAGGCUUAACACAUGCAAGUCGAGCGGGGAAGGGUAGCUUGCUACCUAACCUAGCGGCGGACGGGUGAGUAAUGCUUAGGAAUCUGCCAUUUAGUGGGGGACAACAUUCCGAAAGGAAUGCUAAUACCGCAUACGUCCUACGGGAGAAAGCAGGGGAUCUUCGGACCUUGCGCUAAAUGAUGAGCCUAAGUCGGAUUAGCUAGUUGGUGGGGUAAAGGCCUACCAAGGCGACGAUCUGUAGCGGGUCUGAGAGGAUGAUCCGCCACACUGGGACUGAGACACGGCCCGGACUCCUAUGGGAGGCAGCAGUGGGGAAUAUUGGACAAUGGGCGGAAGCCUGAUCCAGCCAUGCCGCGUGUGUGAAGAAGGCCUUAUGGUUGUAAAGCACUUUAAGCGAGGAGGAGGCUACUUAGAUUAAUACUCUAGGAUAGUGGACGUUACUCGCAGAAUAAGCACCGGCUAACUCUGUGCCAGCCGCCGCGGUAA
rnacentral:rRNA from 1 species